rnacentral:rRNA from 1 species
CGUCGUGAGACAGUUCGGUCCCUAUCUGCCGUGGGCGCUGGAGAACUGAGGGGGGCUGCUCCUAGUACGAGAGGACCGGAGUGGACGCAUCACUGGUGUUCGGGUUGUCAUGCCAAUGGCACUGCCCGGUAGCUAAAUGCGGAAGAGAUAAGUGCUGAAAGCAUCUAAGCACGAAACUUGCCCCGAGAUGAGUUCUCCCUGACUCCUUGAGAGUCCUGAAGGAACGUUGAAGACGACGACGUUGAUAGGCCGGGUGUGUAAGCGCAGCGAUGCGUUGAGCUAACCGGUACUAAUGAACCGUGAGGCUUAACCUUACAACGCCGAAG